GAUGAACGCUGACAGAAUGCUUAACACAUGCAAGUCGAUGGGGAAGUGGUGUUUGCACCAUGGCAACCAUGGCGGACGGGUGAGUAACGCGUAAGGGACUUACCUGCAGGACUGGGAUAACAGGGGGAAACUCCUGACAAGACCGGAUAAUGUCAUGGAGCUGCAUGGCUUUAUGAUGAAAGGAGACGCCUGCGGAGAGCCUUGCGUCCUAUUAGCUAGUUGGUGAGGUAAUGGCUCACCAAGGCGAAGAUAGGUAGCCGGCCUGAGAGGGUGGACGGCCACAAGGGGACUGAGAUACGGCCCUUACUCCUACGGGAGGCAGCAGUGGGGAAUAUUGGACAAUGGGGGCAACCCUGAUCCAGCAAUUCUGUGUGCACGAAGAAGGUUUUCGGAGUGUAAAGUGCUUUCAGCAGGGAAGAAGUAAGUGACGGUACCUGCAGAAGAAGCGACGGCUAAAUACGUG
rnacentral:rRNA from 1 species